AAAAACAACAACGGCGGCGGCUAUAAAACAGAAUUAUAGGAUUAUAGCGUCAACCAUAACCAACGAUAUAAUAUAAAAGAGAAAAAUUAAAAAACCAUUAGCGUCGGUUAUUUGCAAUGCUAUAAUACACAAAUAUUGGUAUGUAGCGUUUUAUAUGGACGACGCUCAGACUCGACGCUAAUACAUUGAAGAGAAUUUUUG
rnacentral:lncRNA from 1 species